UACGAAGGGGGCUAGCGUUGUUCGGAAUUACUGGGCGUAAAGGGCUCGUAGGUGGCCAACUAAGUCAGACGUGAAAUCCCUCGGCUUAACCGGGGAACUGCGUCUGAUACUGGAUGGCUUGAGUUUGGGAGAGGGAUGCGGAAUUCCAGGUGUAGCGGUGAAAUGCGUAGAUAUCUGGAGGAACACCGGUGGCGAAGGCGGCAUCCUGGACCAACACUGACACUGAGGAGCGAAAGCCAGGGGAGCAAACGGG
rnacentral:rRNA from 1 species